UAAGGUGGCUAUGGCAACGGGGCUCACCCCUUUCCAUUCCGAACAGGGAAGUUAAGCCCGUUAGCGCAGAUGGUACUGCUUUACCGUGGGAGAGUAUGUCGCCGCCUUCU
rnacentral:rRNA from 2 species